GUAUUGGACUCCUAAUGGGAUGAGUCUCUUAUCUAGUUAACUGGCCGAUAUAUAUACAAGGAGAAGCCCCUGCACUCAACACGCUUACAUUCAGCUUUAGUCCCAUACUAACGUUCUAAGUGUUGAACUGCGGAAGGCUUAACUCUUGCUUCUAAGUGCAGCUGCUAUUGCAAGAUGUCGACCUCAAUGAACCAGUCCACAGGUGUGUAUUCUAGCCUUUUAGAAAUAUAAUUGCAGUUGGUAUUUGGUGUGUGCUUGUGUUUGUGUUCUUAUGCUAUUGAGUUUAUUAUGUGUUUAUUCAGAUAUGCAAAACACCUAAUACAAUUAACAAUUUAUUGUUGGUAUUUUGCGAGAGGAUAAUAAUCUUUUGUAAUCUCAGAACAAUAUUGAUUUCCGAUUCGGUGGCCUCUUUUUGUUUCAGUCUGGUUUUGUAAGAUAUAAGGAUUCUGUGAUGAACUCAAUCUUAGGCUACAACGAUCAAUGUUGUUUAUGAAAAGCGUAAUACAUUAUACAUGCACAAUAAAAUGAAUAACAUGUGCUCGAUCAAUCUGUAUAACAUGUAUACAGUAUACGUUUAGGCCUUCUUAAUCAAGAAUUUAAGUCUCAAAGUAUGAUAUGAAAUUGUCAUUGAAGAUGUACAGAAACCCACGACCCAGACUCGGCCUUUUUUUUAAUAAAAAAAAAUGUUUUAUUAAUAACUCACACACCCUACAUAUGUCCGUGAGGUUUGAACCCGUGACUUCAAAGUUGUUAGACCCAGACUCGGCCUUGUAAUUAAGCUAAUUCUAUAAGUCGUGUUUCUUCAUAUACUAAAGGAUUUUUGUAGCUUUUACUAUAAUGCAAUUUCGCUAUCUGUUAGUGAAUUAUUUUUCCCAACAUACUAUUUCUAGCUGCUAAAGUAUACAUAAUCAUCUUGGAAUAAGCCAAUAAUAUUCAACUCACUCUGUCUAUCUUGUAUAUUGACAAUAAGCAAAUAGAUUGCAGUAUAGAACUGGAAAUUUAAUCACAGUUUUCAUCAAAAGGGUGAUAGAGCAUAUCGAUAGGUGCAUGAGUAGCUUUAGCUCGCUUCUGCUAAUGUCUAUUUUUGUAUCAUAAAUGGAUGCUAUAUGUAAAACUUGGAAGACUAAGGAUAAAAUAGAAUAUCGAUAUGAGCAAAUAUAAUGCACCCCAAAUUCCAAAUAAUUUGAUCAAGCAAAGAAUGAUGCGACAAUGUCGAGAUAACCAAAAUUGAUACGAAAAGCCUACACAACAUGCCAGCCCCAAAAUUUGGUUAAUCUACCCAAGACAUACAAAUUUGCUAAUAACAUAACCACGCCAACGAUUUGCCAUGGUUUUAAGCUUGCUCGGCAAGGAUCUUCCAGUCCUGCAACAACAAAUGAAAUUGGCUUAAAUGAGAUUGGUCGAAACUGAGCUCAUAUAUGGUCUUAAAAAUAAAAUUCUAAUACCUCAUGGUUCUUGUCUUGGUGUUGAUUUUGGACUUCUUUUCAGCAGAGACGUGAAGGCUGUCGUCGGUAUCAAACUUAGAAACAUACUCUGGAGCUGGAGGAGUGUUGUUGAGCAUAAACUCACCUUGCUUAGUUUCACUUACACCUCCAUUCUCA
rnacentral:lncRNA from 1 species